AGAAAAUUAGUUUAAAUAAAAACAAUUUGUUUACACCAAAUCAAUCCAAAAAGGAUUUUCUA
rnacentral:tRNA from 1 species